AUAAUGUAGGCAACAACACAAGUUAGAAGUCUUGAUUAGUGAACCAAGUUCCAACAACUUGCCAUGCCAAAAAGAAGAAGAGAAUUGAUCUUGUAUUGGUUUAAGCCAUUUGCAUGAUUUAGAAGACAACAUAUCCUUAAUGCAAAGCCAUUCACUUGAUCAAUUGAUCAAGAUGAAUUAGAUUUGAAUCAAGGAAUGUUAAAUAUCCCUAAUCAAUGCUAACUUGUCA
rnacentral:lncRNA from 1 species